GACGAACGCUGGCGGCGUGCCUAACACAUGCAAGUCGAGCGGAGUCGAUCGACGGAAGCCUUCGGGCGGAAGAUGGUUGACUUAGCGGCGGAUGGGUGAGUAACGCGUGGGCAACCUGCCUCGAAGACCGGGAUAACAGACCGAAAGGGCUGCUAAUACCGGAUGUGGUCAAGGAUCCGCAUGGAUCUUUGAUUAAAGGGGAAACCCGUUUCGAGAUGGGCCCGCGUCCUAUCAGCUAGUUGGUGAGGUAAAAGCUCACCAAGGCGACGACGGGUAGCCGGCCUGAGAGGGUGACCGGCCACACUGGAACUGAGACACGGUCCAGACUCCUACGGGGGGCGGCAGUGGGGAAUCUUCCACAAUGGGCGAAAGCCUGAUGGAGCGACGCCGCGUGAGCGAAGAAGGCCUUCGGUUGUAAAGCUCUGUCUGGAGGGACGAAGGAAGUGACGGUACCUCCGGAGGAAGCCACGGCUAACUACGUGCCAGCAGCCGCGGUAAAAUAGACGUACU
rnacentral:rRNA from 1 species